AUAACAUCAGAAACAGAAUGAUUCCUUCCUGAUGUCCCUGAAGCCUGGAGAGAAGACUGAUGUCCUCUUUCUUUUCAUCAUCUUUAUCCCUAUGCCUGCUCUUGGAAGAGGAUGGAUCAGUGUGGUGACAGGCCCAACAUCCACUGCAUGGGCUCCCUAGAUUCCUCUCUUUCUCAAGUCAAGUGUGACAAAACGUGACACCAAGCAAAGUUCGACAGCUGAUAGAUUACAGAUAAGAGAAGAAAGAAAAUUUCAUCAAAUUCGAUACGUUUCUCUUUCAAAGAAUAUCUGAUUUUUCGAGACCGUCCUCCCAAGAAGAAGAACAACAACAUUAGUCGUUUCACCCAGUGCCCCCCAAAUGACAUGUUUACGUUCAAGAUAGAUGACUUUGUCACUUGAACGUAGUAGUUAUGACGGGAACAAGGUAGGAAGUAAAGUGACGUUGUUAUAGAGCACAUGUGUCAACAAAACAUCAGACUUUAACACGGGACACGGCUGCUUUUUUUUCAGUCAGGGUUGUUUUUUUAAAGCAUGACCACAAUUGUUCCAUAACCUUAACCAUGUGUUUAUUAUUGUAAUGAUGACGACAAAGCGCCCCAAACCUUAAUGAAGUAGUCAUUUUAACUCAAACCACAAUGUUUCUCCAAACUGAACUACGUACUUAUUCUAACCCAAACCAUAUUCUUUCCAUAAACUUAACCAAGUAGUUUUUAUACCUAAACCUAAUCAAACCUUAAAAAUAGUGUUGUAACAUCAUAAAACUUUUUUUAUUUUUUCAACAGUGAUUUGUAACAGUUUUGGAAGGCACAGACAAAUUAUAUCGUACAGCCGAUGGGGGCGUCGGAUCAAAAAAUGCUUCUCUGUCUCGUGUUUAGAGAACAUGGACAAAUAACGUAUUUUGUUGUUUAAUUUGGAGGACUUGUUGGAUUUUUUCCAAGUGUAAGGUACUGGUUGUUUCUGCAUGCCACUGCUUCACUGUAGACACCCCAGCUGUUUUCCAGAGACUGAGAAGGAGCUUUUUUCUUUAGCUGUCUUUAUCCAGUAACUUUGUAGUUUGGGGCUGAGUUGUGGCUUUGUGCAAGGGUGGCUUCAGCUGACUGACAUUUAUCACAUAAAGAUGACACAUCUGAAAAGAAGUUUAUGAAGUUAAAGUUGUAAUCUGUGUAAACAUUUGAACUGGAUUAAACCAUGCUUGGCAUAAGCAGAACAGUUA